rnacentral:misc_RNA from 1 species
GAUGAAGAACGUAGCGAAAUGCGAUAAGUAAUGUGAAUUGCAGAAUUCAGUGAAUCAUCGAAUCUUUGAACGCACAUUGCGCCCGCCAGUAUUCUGGCGGGCAUGCCUGUUCGAGCGUCAUUUCAACCCUCAGGCCCCCAGUGCCUGGUGUUGGGGAUCGGCCCAGCCUUCCUGUAAGGCCGCCGGCCCCGAAAUCUAGUGGCGGUCUCGCUGUAGUCCUCCUCUGCGUAGUAGCACAACCCCGCAGUUGGAACGCGGCGGUGGCCAUGCCGUUAAACACCCCACUUCUGAAAGUUGACCUCGGAUCAGGUAGGAAUACCCGCUGAACUUAAGCAUAUCAAUAAGCGGAGGA